rnacentral:rRNA from 1 species
ACGAGUAUGUCAGAGUUUGAUCCUGGCUCAGGAUAAACGCUGACAGAAUGCUUAACACAUGCAAGUCAAUGAUGGGAAGCUAAGCCUAGCUUAGAAGAAGUCAGUGGCGGACGGUGAGUAACGUGUAAAGAACUUGCCCUCUAGACUGGGAUAACAGAUAGAAAUGUCUGAUAAUACCGGAUAUUAUUGUUACAUGGCAUCAUAGUAGGAAUGUAAAGGAUAAGAUUGCUAGAGGAGAGCUUUGCAUCCUAUUAGCUAGUUGGUAAGGUAGCGGCUUACCAAGGCGAUGAUAGGGUAGCCGGCCUGAGAGGGUCGGACGGCCACAAGGGGACUGAGAUACGGCCCUU